CCUACGGGCGGCAGCAGUGAGGAAUAUUGGUCAAUGGACGCAAGUCUGAACCAGCCAUGCCGCGUGCAGGAAGACGGCUCUAUGAGUUGUAAACUGCUUUUGUACGGGGGUAAACGCAGAUACGCGUAUCUUUCUGAAAGUAUCUUACGAAUAAGGAUCGGCUAACUCCGUGCCAGCAGCCGCGGUAAUACGGAGGAUUCAAGCGUUAUCCGGAUUUAUUGGGUUUAAAGGGUGCGUAGGCUGUCGGAUAAGUUAGUUGUGAAAUCCCGAGGCUCAACUUCGGAAUUGCCUCUGAUACUGGUCGGCUAGAGAGUAGUUGAGGUAGGCGGAAUGUAUGGUGUAGCGGUGAAAUGCUUAGUGAUCAUACAGAACACCGAUUGCGAAGGCAGCUUACCAAGCUACUUCUGACGUUGAGGCACGAAAGCGUGGGGAGCAAACAGGAUUAGAUACCCUUGUAGUC
rnacentral:rRNA from 1 species